rnacentral:rRNA from 1 species
CAAUAGCGUAUAUUAAAGUUGUUGCAGUUAAAAAGCUCGUAGUUGGACUUGUGGUGGUCUUUGGGGUCCGAUUUCGGUACUCUCGGGGACUGCCAUCUUUGGGUGGAUCCUGUGUGGCAUUAGGUUGUCGUGCAGGGGAUGCCCAUCGUUUACUGUGAAAAAAUUAGAGUGUUCAAAGCAGGCUUAUGCCGUUGAAUAUAUUAGCAUGGAAUAAUGAGAUAGGACCUUGGUACUAUUUUGUUGGUUUGCGCACCGAGGUAAUGAUUAAUAGGGACAGUUGUGGGUAUUCGUAUUCCAUUGUCAGAGGUGAAAUUCUUGGAUUUCUGGAAGACGAACUAAUGCGAAAGCAUUUACCAAGGAUGUUUNCAUUA